ensembl:lincRNA
UGUUAAUGGAAAAUAACAUUAGGCCUUUAGGCGGUGUAUAGAUACCGGCGUCGCUGUACACUCAAGGGGCCAGGAAGGGGAUAAUGUUAAUGGGAUAUUCAUCACAGCCUUUUAAGAUGCCGAAUUUCGAAUAAUAUACAACACACUCAGAGGAAGAUUUUUUUUUAAUUAAUAAUAAUAAUUCUCCCCCUCCACCUCUCCCUCUCUAUCUCCCCCUCACCUCCUCUCCAUCUCCCUUUACCCUUCUCUCACCUCCUACCCCUCUCUCAUCUCCCCUCCUCCCCUCCUCUCCUCUCCCUCCCCUCUCUUCCUCAUUUUGAUCAAACUGUGGACGCAAACUCCUCAGAGCUUCCAGUGGAUAUAGGAGUUUGCGACCUAUCAUCAUUUCAGCUGGGGUACGCUGUGUUGGAGCAUGUGUUGAGUGUGCCUACACUCGCUGCACCCUCGCCACUGCCUUCACACUCUGCAUCCUCACCACUCCCAAAACAUUCACCACUGCCUGCUCCUGCUGAACCCUCUCCAAUGCCUGUACUCAUUACACCCUCACCAUUGCCAAUCUCCUCGUGGUCUACUGUCUGUAUUUCACCACAGUCACAAUCUGCAGUGUCAGCCAGGUUCCGGGCACAAAAGAGCCCAACACCCAUCCGGAGACAGUUCAGACAGACAGCACCACUCCUGCAUUGUAGUAGGGUGCCGGUGAUAACUCGCCACCUCUUCAUGAAAGACACCGUGGGAUUUUUAACAUCCACCAAUGAAUGCUGUACACUGAGGGUAAUGUCCACCCGAAUGACUGUACACUGUGAUGCAAUACUCUGUCAAUAAAGCACCGAUACGAGUCUGACAGUUUAUAUUCAGGUCGGAAAUCAAACCCAGACUAGACAUGCAAAGGAAAGUGCGCUACCUCUGCACCAUCUUGUCAGCCUUUACUAUAUUGGAACAAAUAUGGUUAAAUACAGUGUUUUGUGAACACUUUUUGUGCUUACUACAGUAUUAAAAGAGGGGGUGAGGACCACCUGUUUCCGAUACAAAUCAGGAGGGCUAACCUGAGUGAGUGAUUGCCUGUAAUUUUCACUUUGAGUCAGAAAGUAUGAGUAGCACAAGAAGCCGCAGUUGUGGAAUUGUAGAAAAAAGAACUCCCAUUAUGAAUGGGAGUGGAGGUUAUAUGCUGCCUAUACAUAUGUAGGUGCAUGCUGCGCUGCAGAUUGUCCUAUACUAGUAUGUGGCCGUACGUGCAAAAAAAAAAAAAAACUUUCAACCCACGAGCCACAAAAAACAACCACACAGGCCGUUCCUUCACUCUCGCGUGGCCGUACAUGCAUGCCCGUACGUGAAAACCACAAGAAGAAGAAAAAAAAACUUUCAAACAAACUCACAGACCGUUCCUUCACUCUGGUAAAUGACGACUGGAUUGGGGCAUUGUGUUUAUCAAUAAAUGCACAUAAGAAAUCGAGAAAUUAUUAGAAUACAAUAAGUAAUCACUAUCCGGAAGUGGUGCGUGCCCGUACGGAAUGUUCAUAUGCAUUCCACGAAUUAUCGCUUGCAUUGAAGUAACAACUGCUGUGAUACUUACACACACAGAGUUAAUUAAAAUCCAAAUUAAAAUCAGGUUUACCUCCCUGUCUUUGCUUGCCAUGACAUUCGCUGCCAUUGACCAUUGCCACUCCGACGUCACAGUAACCAAGGCACCGAUCCCCAUCGUAACCGGCACGGCCCGUGACGUCAUCGUCGGCCGGCCGCGCACCGGCCUUUGCAGCCACGCCUACGCAGCAACGUGUCUUGUCAUUGGUUUGGUAAAUAAAUGGCCAGAACUUGGGAAACACUUGUCCGAUUAAUAGCGAACGUAGUGAGCUUCAUACUUAACGCGUGCACAUGAGAGAAUAGGAAACAACAACAACAACAACAACAACACAAUACCCUGGCAAUUUGGAAUCCGUGUCGUUGGCUAUGACCCC